GGCGAGUGAAGCGGCAAGAGCUCAAAUUUGAAAUCUGGCGCCGCGAGGCGUCCGAGUUGUAAUUUGGAGAGGCAUCUUCCGGUGGGGCCCCAGCCUAUGUUCCUUGGAACAGGACGUCACAGAGGGUGAGAAUCCCGUUCAUGGUCGGGUGCCCCCACCUGCAUGUAGUGUCUUCUACGAGUCGAGUUGUUUGGGAAUGCAGCUCAAAAUGGGUGGUAAAUUUCAUCUAAAGCUAAAUAUUGGCGAGAGACCGAUAGCGCACAAGUAGAGUGAUCGAAAGAUGAAAAGCACUUUGAAAAUAGAGUCAAACAGUACGUGAAAUUGUUGAAAGGGAAGCGCUUGAGACCAGACUCAGCCUAGGGCAAACAUCCUUCCUUCUGGUUGGUGCACUUGCCCAUGGCUGGGCCAGCAUCAGUUGGGACGACGGGAUAAAUGUCUGGGGAAUGUGGCUCCCCUCGGUGAGUGUUAUAGCCCCGGACACCAUGCCGUCCGUCCCGACUGAGGACCGCGCUCCGGCUAGGAUGCUGGCGUAAUGGUCUUCAGCGACCCGUCUUGAAACACGGACCAAGGAGUCUAACAUCCAUGCGAGUGUUUGGGCUUCAAACCCUUACGCGUAAUGAAAGUGAACGGAGGUGGGAACCCCGCGAGGGGCGCACCAUCGACCGAUCCUGAUGUCUUCGGAUGGAUUUGAGUAGGAGCAUGGCUGUUGGGACCCGAAAGAUGGUGAACUAUGCCUGAAUAGGGUGAAGCCAGAGGAAACUCUGGUGGAGGCUCGCAGCGGUUCUGACGUGCAAAUCGAUCGUCAAAUUUGGGUAUAGGGGCGAAAGACUAAUCGAACCAUCUAGUAGCUGGUUCCUG
rnacentral:rRNA from 1 species